GGGGCCGUAGCUCAGUUGGGAGAGCGCCUGGUUUGCAUCCAGGAGGUUGAGGGUUCGAUCCCCUUCGGCUCCA
rnacentral:tRNA from 1 species